rfam:Tropilaelaps mercedesae isolate Wuxi-XJTLT scaffold0000027303, whole genome shotgun sequence.
ACCAUCGACCAAACCACUUUGAAUACCCCGGUUCUUGUCCCAUCACCGAAGCUUAACAACACUAGCCCAGGGGGUACUUGGAAGGGAGACCGCGUGCCAACACUGGGUGUUGAUGGCA